GGGCGGCUAGCUCAGCUGGUUAGAGUACGUGCUUGACAUGCACGGGGUCGGCGGUUCGAGUCCGCCGUCGCCCAACA
rnacentral:tRNA from 1 species